ensembl:lincRNA
AGGAGGUGGCCCCGGGCUCUACCUCCUCGAAAGCUCACUGGAGUGGGGCCUGGAAGAAGCAGAAGCCUCCAGGGCACCUCGGGGUCCGUGCUGUGGGAUGGGAUGGGGCCACGGUCUGGGGCAAGCAGGGGGCAGCGUCUCCGCUUCCCUCCCGGUUGCCAGAUGGCAACACCCACCAGGGCUCUGCUGCUUGUCCCCUUUGGCCCAGGCAGGUCCCCGCUAUCACCUGGAGGCCAGGGAUCCUGGGGAACGGAGCAUCUGGCAUUUGCAGCUGCAGUUGCGACUUCCAGGGGGGAGGAUGAUGCAAACCUGGGGCUCCUGGUGCCACCAGAGGGAUCCUGACAGGACGUGAAUGGGCAGAUGGCGAGCAGAAGAUGGAGUCUGGAUGAGCUUCUGGAUGCACCAAGACCUGAAGCCUGGACACCUUGACUACAUAAACCAAUGAAAUCCUUUUAUGGUUGUGACAAAUAUUAAAGAUUGACUCCCUCAAG